UGGUGGAGUGAUUUGUCUGGUUAAUUCCGUUAACGAGCGAGACCCUACCUGCUAAAUCGUCGCACGUAGCCGCGGCUACAUGUCGAACUUCUUAGAGGAACUUUGUGGACCUAAUGCAACGAAGUGCGAGGCAAUACCA
rnacentral:rRNA from 1 species